UACGGAGGAUCCGAGCGUUAUCCGGAUUUAUUGGGUUUAAAGGGUGCGCAGGCGGGGGAUUAAGUCGGCGGUGAAAUUUUGCAGCUCAAAUGUAAAAGUGCCUUCGAAACUGGUUUCCUUGAGUGUGGAUGAAGUAGGCGGAAUUUGUGGUGUAGCGGUGAAAUGCAUAGAUAUCACGAGGAACUCCGAUUGCGCAGGCAGCUUACUAAACCAUAACUGACGCUCAGGCACGAAGGCGUGGGGAUCAAACAGGAUUAGAUACCCCGGUAGUCCCU
rnacentral:rRNA from 1 species